rnacentral:lncRNA from 1 species
GUUAAUCAGAACUGAAGACUUCGCAGUAGACACAAUAUCAAGAAUCCACUUAUGACAUCUAUUACCAAAACCUCUUGCACUCAAGAGAUCCAUUAGGAAUGACCAUUCCAUAUUAUCAAAUACUUUCUCAAAGUCCAAUUUGUAUAUAAUUCCCUUUUGUUUCAACCUUGAUGCCUAUGAUACAAUCUCCUUUGCAGCUGCAAAAUUAUUAGCAAGUGUUCUUCCUUUCAUGAAUGUCGAUUGGGAGGG